rnacentral:lncRNA from 1 species
UCCAUGUCACUCCAUGUUCCUACUCUCACUGGGGGCCUGAGAUGAUCAGGGUGGAAGAGCAUAGAAAAGCACCCCAAGAGCUAAGGUGGUAGAGAUUCCAUGCCGAUCCACGCAUGCAGCUUCUGUUAAUCAUCCAUGGUUGAGGCAAGUGGUUAAGGCCUUUGGCUUUGGAAGCCAAAAAGAAGGCAAUGAAAAUGGGGCAGAGUUCAGAGCAGGGAAGCAGUCUCAGCAUGCAAUCCUGUGUGUGUCAAGGGUUGUCACAAAAGCAAGACUGAUUCAUGGUUCCAUUCAUUCCUCUGGCCAUUCACGCUUCACUCCUUUAGCUCUCCCCAGUGUCAUCAGCAGGUCAGGAUCUGGACAGGCAGGGCAGCCUUGAGGAAUAGUACACAGACCUGCAGGACAAGUGAAGGUUGCACAGUCUUCAAGAUGGGGCUGGGAGUAUGGAGAAAAGUGGGAUAGAAACCUCAACAACCCUGUUUCUGGCCCAAGUCACCGGAGAGCUGCUGCUGUCGGAUGCAGGGGCAAGUUCAAGACAGAGGAUUGGUUCAGAGUUUCAAUCACCCCAGCUGUGUUUCAUUCUAACACAGAAGGUAUCGUCGACAAUCUGUGGGUGAUUUAUGGUCCCCUUCUGGAUGUUUUAUCAUUUGGAUUCUCUCCUGCACCCCCAGAGAUGGAGAGAGACAAGGAGAGAGCCUGUCACAAGGAAAGCCCUUCUCUGCCUUUGCCCGUACUCUUGCCAACUUGAGUAGCACCUAAUGAAUGCCUUGCACCGUGGCUACAUCUGCUUCCUCCACACCCUUCCCAUGGCUGCCCUGGAGGCUUGUAGAAGCACAUGCUUUUCGGGGAGGAGUGGAGAGAGAAUUGUCAGAGGUCAUACUUGAAGGUACUCAAUGUUUCCUGAUACAUACAACACGGUGGCCACUGAGACACUACCAACUCCACAUGGACAGGAGCAGAUCAGUGGGCAGAGGCCCCCAGGACCUCGACAAGAAUGCUUCCUCUUAGCCCAUGGAACUGGGUGGCCAGGGGAUGCCUCUGCUGGCUGGCCUCAGCUCCCCAUGAGAGGUUAGAGUUCUGGAGACAAAUGUCAGAUCAGAAUCCCUGUAGAAGGGCCUCUUGACCUUGAGUGAGGAGUGGUUGAGAGUUUCCCGGAAACCAAGCCCCCAACUAAUGGUCCCACUCUCUUUUCUAAUAAAUACGUGGCCCUGGGCCCGGCUCCCUUCUCUGCUUUGUCAUGAGGGACCUGUUAUUUAUGACUUGGGAGUGACUCACAGGCCUUGGCAGGGAGCUAACGGUUCUGGGCCCAAUGUAUUUUUCCACUCAGUAGCAAAUGAAGGAGGAGCUUGUAAAUUCUGCCGUCAGAACGACUGUGUAGGUAUCUUUUCAGAUGCUCCUCCUGGCUUGGCCAUAAAUCUUUUCCCUGGUAGAUGUUCCCGGUGGUCUUUGGCAGCUGCUGGGAGAGUGGGUGGGGGCUCUUCCAGACUCUGGACUCAGCUCCCCAGCCACACAAGUAACUCUGUGCCCAAGGAACUGCCACAGCCUCUCUGAAGAUUUCCCCCAGGCAAAUUGGGUGCAAAGUGAGCUGGGAGAGAUGACAGAGUCAGUACAGUGAGUCCCAGAGAAGGAAAGGAUAGAACAUGGGAGAAAGGUAAUAACAUAGUGGUGUGUUGCUGGCAUCUGUGACCCACAGGGUUCAGUCAGUCCCUCCCAACUCUCUGUGCUGGGCCCAUCAUCAACCAUCCAAGACCACCCUGGGCAAGCUACACUCAACCAGGCUUCAUUGACUUACUUUUCUCCAUGCCCCAAGCCCACUCAGAAAGCCAAGUGCCAGGCAGAGUUGCAUAGCUCACUUAUUUUUCUUACAGAUUAGUAGCUCCCAAAGAGUCUUUUCUAUUUACCCAACAACCAGGCACUUGACGGGUCUAGGAAAACUGUCAAAAACUACACACUGAGAGUCUGCCCUUCGUACAGACUAGUAACAUAGCCAGCCAGUUUUCCAGAUCCCAAAAGAAACCCAAGACCUUAGACUUCAGAAACAAGUGUGUGUGUGUGUGUGUGUGUGUGUGUGUGUGUGUGUGUGUGCCAGUUUCAUACAGAGCCAGGGUUACCUGCUUGUACACUGUGAGGGUUGCAUCAUGGGAGGCCCCUGGAGCUGGUGGGACCUGGAUCUUUUGUAAUAGUCAUAAGUAAAUCUAAGCUCUGGAAGAUGUUACCUUUGGUAAACAGAACUGCUGUGUCUUCUCAAGCUAUGAACUGUACAAAAGCCAUGGAAAGGGAGCAAGGUGCAGGGGAGCUGGGUCUGUUGUUGGCAGGAAGCACAGAAAUGGGAAACCCCAGGGGACAGGAGACCUAUGUCCUAAUGAUCUUGCUUUUAUUUGUCUCCUAGUGACCAUUUCCAGCACAACGCUCCAUCCCAGAGACUCUAAAAUCUUGAUUGCAUCUCAGAGUCUUAUGGAGGUUGAGGCAAAAGCAGGCUGUAGCCCUCUAUAAGCAGACCCAGCUGUAUGCCCGUGACUCUAAUCAGAGGAACUAGGGAUUGGAUGCUCCCUAGAGUAGUCCCUUGUCAAAAGACACUAAGGAGGAGAAAGUGAAAUACUUUCCUCAUUCUCUGUGACUGAAACAUCUCCUAUUGUCUCCAUUCUCCCUACUUGAUGCCCAGUCAAGCCCCAGUAGCUAUGCUUGGUAGGUGCUCAGUUCUGUCCCCUCCCCUGACGCCACCCUUUAUGGGCUUCUCUUUCCUCCCAUUCUCACGUCUGUACUCUCCCAGAGCCUUCCCAGGAACACUCAAGCCCUCGUCUCUGUGAACCCUAUCCCAGGACACAGCACAUGUGACUUAAGACAUAACCUAAGUUAGCAUGGACACCCACCACAUUUGAAAAGGUCACGUGUGCUGUGCUCAAAAUGCAAGGAGUAAAAAGUGAAGCUUGGGAACAGUGUUUCUGAAAUACAUAAAAUUUAACAGUUAUUCCUUCCAAGAAGGAUGGCUCAAAGAGGGUAGGAGUGGAAAUAUGGCAUUGAGGGGUGCAGAUGGGGGGUCACCCUAAUCCAGACCCUGUGGGAGCUCCCAGUAACACAAUGACUGAAAUGAGAGAAGACAACAAGGUGUCAAGGUAGGGUCAUUGGUCAGUUAAAGUUUGCCCUUGGGGGAUGGAGAGAUGGCUCAGCAGGUCAAAGAGCUUCCUGCUCAUAAAGAGGACUCUGGUUCUAUUCUCAGCACUCACAGGGCAGUUCACUUGCAUAUUCCAGUCAAGGCAAGAGAAAUAAGCUUAGCUUAGAGAACAGAACUUGAAAGAAAUACUGUCAACUAACAUAUGCAAAAAAAACUGGGACUUCCGGACAGAGACAGAGCUCCAUAAAGGUGACAGAGUUUGUUAACCCUGCAAAGAAAUCACAAUAGAAUAUUGGAUCUUCUUGUGCAUGCUAGGGGGUGCUCCCCCCAGGAGCCCCUGCAGGAACAUCUGCUUGUCUAGUUCUAGCAGAGGCUGCCAUCAGUCAGGUGUACACAGUAUCAGGUCUUUGUUUUGGGUUUUGCCAUACACUUUUUUUUUUUUUGAGACUGAGGUUCUUCAUAGUCAGGGGUUCACAGAUUCAGCUAAACUGUCUGGUCAGUGAAGUCCUGAGAUCCUCCUGUCACUGCCUUCCCAGCACUGGGAUGCAAGUGUGCAUUGCCCUUUCCUUUUUACCUGAGUUCAAGCUGUGUGGCAAGCACUAUACCAAUUGAGAUAUCUCUUCAACCGCCACACACGUUCUUAAUCUUCACAUCCUCUCCAGAGCAGCUUGUUGUACCGUGGUACUUAGGAGGUGCUGAGGAGUUCUGUGUUUUGCACAGGAAUAAGAGCCAGUGUGUGAGGGCCGCAGGCUGGGCAGACAUGGACAUGCAUAGAGUUAGUUCCCCCUAAGCAUAAGCUCAAUCAGACCUGACAGCCAGAUGUCUGGACUGGUGACGUCAAGGCUUGGGACAAGGGCUGGGGGACAGCCAAGCUCUGGUUGGUAGCCCCCACCCAGACAGUUUCCCAUGAGCUAGGAUCCACAUGGGAGGCAAAUGAAAGACUGUGACAGUGCCUCCCUGCUGAGGGUACCCUGCUGAUGGGUCUGGGCUAGGAGCUGGUCUUUGUACAUCAAAAACAGGCCAAUGUUUAUGGGUUGCUGGGUCUAGACUUCAGCUUCAGCUUCAAGAAAGCAAUCCUUCCUCCUUACCUGAGGAUCCCAGAGACUAUCCCAUGCCAAAAUGCCUCCCUCCCCUCUCUUCCCCUCUCCUCCCCCUCCUCCCCUCCCCUCUCUUCUUCUCCACCACAACACUCUCUGUUCAGCCAGCACCAAGGGACAGUCCCCUUCCUCUGUGAUCUGUCCCAUGGGACACCUUUCUUCCCUCUAAAACCUGUCCCUCAGUACACACACCCAAACUGACCUCAUUAUGCCCCUACCUGCAUGGGGAGUAGGGGGUGCCGAGGUCAUCUUCAUCUUCAUUCCUGUCCAUCUUACUUUGGGAAACCUGGAACUCACAGAUUAGGCUGGACAGGAUGGCCAGCCAGCAGUAGAAGUUCCCCCAUCUUCACUUCUCUGUGUCACCACACCAUCCCUGGCUUUUCAUGUGGUUCUGGGGAAUUGAACUUGGGUCUUCCUGCAAGGCAAGCAUUUUGCCAACUGAGACAUCUCCCCAUCCCCAACCACUUCACUUCCUGAAUAUUUUGCUUAACGAGCCAGGCAAAGUCUCAGGUCAUGGAUUAAGCUAGUCUCUUGUGAUGUCCUUGAGCUAUGACAUGUCUUCUCUAGCAACCCUUGGAUUCUCCAGAUGUUUGGUGUCCACUACCUGCUGGCCACCAGCAUUGAGACUUCUCCUGGGGAAGGUGAGGGUCAGUUGCUCAACUCCAUUGUAAACAAAAGCACUAAUUAGUCUGAGGGAAAGAGGGAAAGGAGAAUGACUAAAUCACGCCCAGCUCCAGAAAUAGCUGUGGAAAGGCUUCUCAAUCCAGGAGCUAGGACAGAUGUGAUAAGCAACUACAGCUCACAGAAUAGUAAAUUGCCGGUUGCUGAUAGCAAACAUGGGAAUGAAGCUGUGACCAAAUGCACAGCAACUUCCACUGGCUGGACACUCACUGAUUUAGCAAGAAUAGGGACUGAGGAUAUGGGUCUGAGUGAGAGAAAACACCUGGACUCUAUCCAACCUGGUGGGGGCUACACCCUCUGCUUGGAGACAGAAUGGGGCAGGCCCAGCUCCUCUCUUGGCAAUAGUGAUGGGAUUGAACAGAAGCAAAGACGUGUGGGCAUGAGUCAGAACUCUGAACUCUUGUUUGCAGCUCAAACCAUAUCAGUGUGAAGGUAUCCAGGAUGCCAGGAAUUCCAGAAGAGGACCACCAGCAAGCAGGUCCUGCCUCUUGCUCCUGGCAUUUCCUCCCUCUCAGUGGCCUUCCCUCAUCCCAGCCCGGCCUCUCAUGAGACCUGAAACCUCAGGAAGCCACCUCUCACUCUGUGGGGAAGCCUCCAGCCUUUAUCUGAACACCUGGGCUCAGCUAUGCCCCCUUGAUACUGAGCUGAUAGAAACCUGGUACACACCUUCCUCCACCAGUGGAGAACUGAUGCCAACGUCUCUUCUAUGGAAGCCUUAGCAAGAAAUGAAGUCUCAGCCUGCAUCUGUUACUGCUCACUGGGGUCCCCUGAAGAAUAAAUGUGAUCCCAUACCACCACUGCCCAUGCCCACUCAGCACCGCAAAAUCCAGCACUUCCUCUCAAGGCUGCCAUCUGCACGUAGUUUACUUCUGUGAACUUUGCCUUCAACCCCCUUCCAACUGGGUAAGCCCUUUCCAUGUGACCUCACGCUUUCCUUUUCAAUAAAGCUACCAGUCACUCUGGUUUGGCGCACAUCCUCAAGUCCUCUCUGAACUAAGAUCUUCCCUUCAAAGAAGUCCUGAAGCACUAGAGGUUAAGUCUCUAACACCUGGGUUUGAGAUGUGGAACGAGCUCGCUCUUAUGCUUGCAGAAUAUAAUUUGACACAAGAAAUCUCAGAGAAUUACACUGUGGGACCUUGUGAAGACUUGUGGUGGGGUGCUUUCUACUGGAGAUGAACAGGAGGACAGAUGAGUUCAGCUUUGAACAUGAUUUUGAGAAAUACCCCGCAGGUGCGUAGGCUCACACCAUGAAGCCAAAGACAGAGUGUGUUGACAUAGGAGCCUGUAGUGUUGGAAGUCAAGAAAACAGCUUCCUGGAACACUUGGAGGAAGAAUAAAAUCAACAGAGGGCCUGUGCCUCAGAAGCAUGGAUGUCUAAGGACAUCUAAGGCCUAGUCCAGGGAGACUCUGAAGUAGACAGAGAAGAGGCAGCAGAUUUGGAGGUAGGGGUGCCUCGUGAGUCUGGGGAGGCCAAGUUCAAAAAAAGAGUGAGUGUGCCUGCGGGAGUGAGGAACACAGUACUGAACUAGAGAUAGUGAGCCCCGUGGGAUAAGCCUGGAGGAGUGAGCCACGCUGUUCGGAUCAGGCACAGAGAGGACAAUGGGAACAACAUGGGUGACGUUUAAGAACAUAAUCUAGGGCAGGAGAGGUGGCUCACCUGUGACUCCAGCUCCAGGGGCUCACCUGUGACUCCAGCUCCAGGGGUUCCUUGCCCCUCUGGCCUCUGCACUACCUGAACUUGUUGGUGACCAGACACACAGCCCCAUACAAUGUUUAUAGAGAACAUAAUCUGAAGUAAGACUAGUUUGUGAGAGAGUAAAGAACGGUGAGGCCAAAUCCAGAAGGUUUCCCAGAGAUGGUGGGGUAGGGGGAGGGCACUGCUCCCAAGCCUGAAGAAGACUUGCCAGUCUGAGGGAAAGCUAGGAAACCAAGCUGUGACUUUCCCACAUCCCAUAGACACACAGGAAGGAUGACUGUCUAGGGCCUUCCUCAUAUCCGGCAGGCGUUCUACAGAUUAAACUAAAGAUAUAGCAUGGGCUCUGAGGAUAGCUCAGCGGGUAAAGCACUUGACUUCCGAGUAUGAGGACUUGAGUUCAGAUCCGCAGAACCCAGGUAAAUUCAAACGCGUGUAAUCCCAUGUCCCUAUGGUGAUCUGGGAGAUGGAGACAGGAGACUGAGGGGAAGUUCGAAGACCAUAUAACUUGGCCUAUGCAGCCAGAAACAAGAAACUGUCAUAAACAAGGACAAAGCAAGGAUGGACACCCAAAGUUGUCCUCUGACAACACAGGUGCCGUGGCAUGCAUAUGCCAACACACACGCACACAUGCACAUGAGUUAAAAAAAUAAGUUAAAAGUUUAGAGCACAAAAAUGAUGGAACAGAAUACAAACACAAUGUGAUAGAGCCAAGACUUGAUUUUUCCUUAAAGAAAAAUCUUUAAAGACUAAUAAAAUUGGCAUCCAUCCAUGGGAAUGAUAGCAGGAAUGAGACCCCUCUUGAGACCCC